UACCAGCUCUCCGAGUGGUGUGGAUGUUUAUUGGGCCUAAAGCAUCCGUAGCUGGCUGGGCAAGUCCCCUGUUAAAUCCACCGAUUUAAUCGUUGGUGUGCGGGGGAUACUGUUCGGCUAGGGGACGGGAGAGGCCGACGGUAUUUUCGGGGGUAGGGGUGAAAUCCUAUAAUCCCGGGAAGACCACCAGUGGCGAAGGCUGUCGGCUAGAACGCGCCCGACGGUGAGGGAUGAAAGCUGGGGGAGCGAACCGGAUUAGAUACCCGGGUAGUCCCAGCUGUAAACGAUGCAGGCUAGGUGUUUGGGCGGCCACGUGCCGCUCUAGUGCCGCAGGGAAGUCGUUAAGCCUGCCGCCUGGGGAGUACGGCGCAAGGCUGAAACUUAAAGGAAUUGGCGGGGGGCACCACAAGGGGUGAAGCUUGCGGUUU
rnacentral:rRNA from 1 species